UAGGGAAUCUUCCACAAUGGACGAAAGUCUGAUGGAGCAACGCCGCGUGAGUGAAGAAGGGUUUCGGCUCGUAAAACUCUGUUGUUAAAGAAGAACAUAUCUGAGAGUAACUGUUCAGGUAUUGACGGUAUUUAACCAGAAAGCCACGGCUAACUGCGCCAG
rnacentral:rRNA from 1 species